GAACGAACGCUGGCGGCGCGUCUUAAGCAUGCAAGUCGGACGGCAAGGGUUGUGCUUGCACAACUCCUAGAGUGGCGGACUGGUGAGUAACGCGUGGGUGACCUGCCCUCGAGAUGGGGAUAGCCAUUAGAAAUAGUGGAUAAUACCGAAUACGCUCAUGACCCUGUGGGAUAUGAGGAAAACAGGCUACGGCCUGGCUCGAGGAUGGGCCCGCGUCCCAUUAGCUAGUUGGUGAGGUAACGGCCCACCAAGGCGACGAUGGGUAUCCGGCCUGAGAGGGUGUACGGACACAUUGGGACUGAGAUACGGCCCAAACUCCUACGGGAGGCAGCAGCUAAGAAUAUUCCGCAAUGGACGAAAGUCUGACGGAGCGACGCCGCGUGGAUGAAGAAAGGCCGGAAGGUUGUAAAAUCCUUUUGCUGAUGAAGAAUAAGUGUGGUAGGGAAUGACCGCAUGAUGACAUUAGUCGGUGAAUAAGCCCCGGCUAACUACGUGCCAGCAGCAGC
rnacentral:rRNA from 1 species